GUCUGAGGUUGUUCUCACCAGUGCAGGUACUCCCUCAAUGUUGGGUUGCUUGGGUUUGGAGCAUCAGGAUCGACCAUCACCUGUUGUAAUAAUGUUUUCCAAAAGUUACCACAAACAACGCUGUAAAUUAAACAAAUAUAUAUAUAUCAACCAUAACAAAGUACAGGUAUCCACGAGAACACUAGCAUCUAAAUGUAAUUAGCAAGUAGUUAAUCAACAAGGCAUGAGUUUACCAGGGUAUAUGCAACUCGAUAAUCAUCCCCUCCAAUCUC
rnacentral:lncRNA from 1 species